UACGUAGGGCGCAAGCGUUGUCCGGAAUUAUUGGGCGUAAAGAGCUCGUAGGUGGCUUGUUGCGUCUGCCGUGAAAUCCCGUGGCUUAACUGCGGGUCUGCGGUGGAUACGGGCAGGCUAGAGGCUGGUAGGGGCAAGCGGAAUUCCUGGUGUAGCGGUGAAAUGCGCAGAUAUCGGGAGGAACACCGGUGGCGAAGGCGGUUCUCUGGGCCUUACCUGACGGCUGAGGAGCGAAGGCGUGGGGAGCGAACAGG
rnacentral:rRNA from 1 species